rnacentral:lncRNA from 13 species
CAUCUCUGAAGUUUAAUAUUUAAAGAGUGUUGAGAGUUUGGUUACCCUGAAAAGCAAGCAGCAAUCCAUCUAUUCCCUAUCCGUACCUGGACAGCAGCAGGUCUCCGACAUCGCUUUGCCACAGCAGGGAUCGGAUCUGAAAAAAGCUUUAUGACCGGGUCCAAGCAGUCAUACAUGCACAAACACAAACACUCAUCUCAGACAUCAUGUACGUGAGUUCCUCGGGAACUGAGAAUGUGUCCCUGUCUCUUUCGUUUCUGGGGAAGACGGUAGGGAGGCACUGCUCUGUUGCCCCUUCAUCAAAACAACGCGCUUGGGAGACGACCACCCGGUCGCCAUAUCCUGAGGUGACAGUGAGGUCCUCGCGGGUGGACAACCCGGCAGUGUCAGUUCUGGAGGAGUUACCUGGGAGUGUCCCUGACCUGAGGGAGGAGGCCAAGCACCACCAGCCAUGCCCGGUAGUACACAGCACACACCUGGACCAGGAGCUGGACACAGGUCAGCACAAGCAGAAACCCUGUCAUGACACCAUAAACCGGAAAACUUUAGCCAUAACUGUGUCAGGAGAGUAA